GACGAACGCUGGCGGCGUGCUUAACACAUGCAAGUCGAACGGUAAGGCUCCAGCUUGCUGGGGUACACGAGUGGCGAACGGGUGAGUAACACGUGGGUGACCUGCCCUGCACUUCGGGAUAAGCCUGGGAAACUGGGUCUAAUACCGGAUAGGACCGCACCGUGAGGGUGUGGUGGAAAGUUUUUUCGGUGUGGGAUGGGCCCGCGGCCUAUCAGCUUGUUGGUGGGGUAAUGGCCUACCAAGGCGGCGACGGGUAGCCGGCCUGAGAGGGUGGACGGCCACAUUGGGACUGAGACACGGCCCAGACUCCUACGGGAGGCAGCAGUGGGGAAUAUUGCACAAUGGGCGGAAGCCUGAUGCAGCGACGCCGCGUGGGGGAUGACGGCCUUCGGGUUGUAAACUCCUUUCACCAUCGACGAAGGGUUUCUGACGGUAGAUGGAGAAGAAGCACCGGCUAACUACGUGCCAGCAGCCGCGGUAAUACGUAGGGUGCGAGCGUUGUCCGGAAUUACUGGGCGUAAAGAGCUCGUAGGUGGUUUGUCGCGUCGUCUGUGAAAUUCCGGGGCUUAACUCCGGGCGUGCAGGCGAUACGGGCAUAACUUGAGUACUGUAGGGGAGACUGGAAUUCCUGGUGUAGCGGUGAAAUGCGCAGAUAUCAGGAGGAACACCGGUGGCGAAGGCGGGUCUCUGGGCAGUAACUGACGCUGAGGAGCGAAAGCAUGGGGAGCGAACAGGAUUAGAUACCCUGGUAGUCCAUGCCGUAAACGGUGGGCGCUAGGUGUGGGUUUCCUUCCACGGGAUCCGUGCCGUAGCUAACGCAUUAAGCGCCCCGCCUGGGGAGUACGGCCGCAAGGCUAAAACUCAAAGGAAUUGACGGGGGCCCGCACAAGCGGCGGAGCAUGUGGAUUAAUUCGAUGCAACGCGAAGAACCUUACCUGGGCUUGACAUAUACAGGAUCGCGCCAGAGAUGGUGUUUCCCUUGUGGCUUGUAUACAGGUGGUGCAUGGUUGUCGUCAGCUCGUGUCGUGAGAUGUUGGGUUAAGUCCCGCAACGAGCGCAACCCUUGUCUUAUGUUGCCAGCACGUUGUGGUGGGGACUCGUAAGAAACUGCCGGGGUUAACUCGAAGGAAGGUGGGGAUGACGUCAAAUCAUCAUGCCCCUUAUGUCCAGGGCUUCACACAUGCUACAAUGGUCGGUACAGUGGGUUGCCAGUCCGUGAGGGCGAGCUAAUCCCGCAAAGCCGGUCUCAGUUCGGAUCGGGGUCUGCAACUCGACCCCGUGAAGUCGGAGUCGCUAGUAAUCGCAGAUCAGCAACGCUGCGGUGAAUACGUUCCCGGGCCU
rnacentral:rRNA from 1 species